GCCCUCCUAGCUCAGCCCGGUUAGAGCGUGUGGCUGUUAACCACAAGGUCGCCAGUUCAAAUCUGGCGGAGGGCG
rnacentral:tRNA from 1 species